AGCCUCCUGUAUGCGUGCUGAGAUUUUGUCACACACUAGACCACAAAGUCCGACGAGACUCCCAAGAUAAGUGUUAUU
rfam:Schistosoma mansoni, Puerto Rico, WGS project CABG01000000 data, contig: 0010